CUGACCAUUUUUUCCCACGUGAGAACUUUUUGAAUUUUGUUUAUGUUUGGAGGCGAAACUGACCUGAGCGAGUGUGUUGAUGUGUAAAGUAACUGGAGUUAUGAUCGCGGAUUUUUCAACGGAGGAUUGUUUUUCUUGAAUCGGUUUUUGUGAAUAGUUGUAUGUACAUUUGAUUAGGAGAACUGUGAAAUUAUUUCUAUUACUUGGAUUAUUGACUCUUCGUAGUGGAUUGUGCUUCUGCAACCAGAAGGAUAUCGGCGACCUGACAAUCGAAAAGGUGAAACGGAUUUUCAAAACCCAUCUAAUGAAUGCAUUACUGAAUCGGAUGUCACUAACCUUUGCCAGCACCAGAUUUAGACUUCAUAAGGCCCUAAGCUUUUUCGAGAUUUGGAGCCCCUUUUAAUUAAAACGUUUCUUCAAAAAGAAGAUGAUUACGUCAUACGCGUCAUGCACUCAAUCAUGCAUAUUAACCAAUGACCUAAAUUCUGCCAAGUCACUGGUUUUCCUGCCUAGCUCAGGCAACCCAUUCCAUGCUCUAAUAGCACUAGGGGAGAAGGAGCAUUUGUACAAAUUUGUCCUAGCAUAUGGAACGAGAAGUGUACCUUAAUCUUUGUGUCUU